AUGGUUCAGUAUGUGGAUUUGUUGAUUGUCGAAUCUACAUAUUCCAUGGUUCAGAUUAAAAUGACACAAUCUUCAGUUUAUUUGCAUGACACAAUCUACAUGGUUCAUACUGUCAGCAUAUACUGCUUGUGUACAGUAUGUUUACUUCAUGUUCAGAUUAAAAUGUGUCUCCAUAUCUUUUUUAGCCACAAGCAGAUCUUAGAUGUAAGGUUAGCAUAA
rnacentral:rRNA from 1 species